GACGAACGCUGGCGGCGUGCUUAACACAUGCAAGUCGAACGGAAAGGCCCUGCUUUUGUGGGGGGCUCGAGUGGCGACCGGGUGAGAAAAACGAGAGUAACUUGCUUUAGAUCUUGGGUAAACUUCAGGAAACUGGGGCAAAAACAGGUUAGGAGCCCCUGCGGCAUGGAGGGGGUUGGAAAGUCUCGGGGGCUGGGGAUGGACUCGCGGCUUAUUUGCUUGUUGGUGGGGGAGUGGCUUACCAAGGCUUGGACGGAUAGCCGGCCUGAGAGGGUUACCGGCGACAUAGGGACUGGAAUACUGCCCGAGGUCCUACGAGGGGAAACAGUGGGAUGUAAUGCACAAUGGGCGGGAACCGGAUGCUGCAACACCGCGUGCUGUAGGACGGCCUUCGGGUUGUAAACCGCUUACGCCUGUGACGAAGCGUAAAUGACGGUAAUGGAUAAGUAAGCACCGGCUAACUACGUG
rnacentral:rRNA from 1 species